AAAGAGCUGUGUCAUUGAAUCUGAAGUUAGAAAACAGUAUUCUUUGAAUCUGAUGUCUAGAAAUACAGAAAAUAGAGACUCAAAACUCUUUCACUAGAAAUAUGCUAGUAUCCGACGGAAUUUAUGAAAAUAUUAACAAACGCUCGGAGACUACUUUUCUAUUGUCGGUAGUAAAACAGAAAAGCUAUAAAUGAACAUGAGAUGAGUUCGUUCCUACACUAUGUAUUAUUGUACGCAUAAACUUAAAUUAUAAAAAGGAAACUACAACAAUAUUCUCGUGUAACAUUUCGAGAGGAACAACCCUGACUUAAACGUAACUUUGAAUACAAAAAGACUAGCUCAUCUAACAAGACUCUUUCACAUAGAAUAGAAUUUUAUCGCGUAUAAGAGAGGAAGACUUAAAAGAAACGAAGAAAACGUAACGGAAACAAGAACAAUGAACCCAAACCAAACAACGAGAAUAAAUUCAUUAAGCUACGAAAAAAUGAUAAUCAUGUAGAAAACUGACAAUGUAAGAAAAUGCAAUAAAACUGAGCCCUGAAGCAUCUACAGACUAUUGUUCAACAUCAGUCGAACCAUAACAACAGAAAUAUAACAUGAUUAGGAGAUAUGAAAAAUACUUAACAAUAGAAAAUUUUCAAUAUGGAAAUUAAUAAAAUGAUACUAAUCUAAAAAAUAAAAGUCAUUAUGAAAAAAUAAUAUCUUAAGAAAGUUUUUAUUGACGAUCGAAAGUACCUCCAGUAGAUUGAAUCUAAUAAUGAAAUAGUAACAAUAAAAAUGCAAAUCUGACCAUCACAUAUUUAUGAAAAAAUCAAACAAGGACAUCAUAAUCACCAAGUUAAUUGACAGAAUAUAUGUAUGCAGAGGUCACAUUAUCUAAAAAGAAAUAUGAACACUACAUCACACCUUUUCAUUUUGGGAGAUCAAUGCCCAUGAAAACAAUGUGGAAAACAAAUAUACAGAUGCACACAAAAGAAGAGGAGUAUUUCUCAAACCUCAAUAGAUUCAAGAAUAAAAACCUGUCAUUUAAAAAGAGUAGCAGAAACAAAUAUCUCUGAAGUAGAAACCAACAAGAAAUACGGUAUCCGGAUCCAGAAGAAGCCUUAAAUAAGAGAUCUUUGCAAAGGACAUGUGAUUAGGAAAAUGUGACAACUAUUCCUUGAACAAAACAAACAUUUCGACUCCUACAUGAAACAAGUUUAUUAAGAAUUAGCUAAAAAUAAGUAAACGUAAAAUGAAGGCAGCACAAAUAGUAGGAGAUGUAGAAGAAUUCUAAAAAGAGCGUUACACCAAAGGAAUCACCAGGGACGAGAUAGGUCAAAAUAACAAGCUCAGUACCUGAAAACUGAGAAAGCGUAUGAAUUCCCGAGACAACCCAGAGACGUAAAGACUUGAGAUUAUGGAAUUCACGAAGUGAUAAAAUCUCUAGCAUUUCACCAACACACGUCAUGCAUUCGAAAUAUAUAUAAGCUUUAAAAGGAUAAGCAACUUCAUUGCUUUUAGUUGCUCAGUACCUGCCAAUCGGGAAUAUAUCUAGAGUUGUGAUAUAGUUCCAGGCUUUUCAUACACUAGCAAUUAUACCACAUGAUAAAAUACCAACAGAAACAUGUUUAUUCGUGCCUUCCCUGCACAGUCGAAUUUGUGUAGACAUACAUACAUACAUACAUACAUACACACAUACAUACAUACAUACAUACAUACAUACAUACAUACACACAUACAUACAUACAUACAUACAUACAUAUAUGGAGUCUGUACAAUACAGACUAAGAUGUUGAUCGAACCAGUUUCCUGAUAGAUUUUGCUACACAAUCAUUGCAUCACACACAAUCUGUUAAUGAAACACAAAUUCACUGAUG